rnacentral:rRNA from 1 species
UCUAUACAGUGAAACUGCGAAUGGCUCAUUAAAUCAGUUAUCGUUUAUUUGAUAGUACCUUACUACUUGGAUAACCGUGGUAAUUCUAGAGCUAAUACAUGCUAAAAACCCCGACUUCGGAAGGGGUGUAUUUAUUAGAUAAAAAACCAAUGCUCUUCGGGGCUCCUUGGUGAUUCAUAAUAACUUAACGAAUCGCAUGGCCUUGUGCCGGCGAUGGUUCAUUCAAAUUUCUGCCCUAUCAACUUUCGAUGGUAGGAUAGUGGCCUACCAUGGUUUCAACGGGUAACGGGGAAUUAGGGUUCUAUUCCGGAGAGGGAGCCUGAGAAACGGCUACCACAUCCAAGGAAGGCAGCAGGCGCGCAAAUUACCCAAUCCCGACACGGGGAGGUAGUGACAAUAAAUACUGAUACAGGGCUCUUUUGAGUCUUGUAAUUGGAAUGAGUACAAUUUAAAUCCCUUAACGAGGAACAAUUGGAGGGCAAGUCUGGUGCCAGCAGCCGCGGUAAUUCCAGCUCCAAUAGCGUAUAUUAAAGUUGUUGCAGUUAAAAAGCUCGUAGUUGAACCUUGGGCCUGGCUGGCCGGUCCGCCUCACCGCGUGCACUGGUCCGGCCGGGCCUUUCCUCCUGGGGAGCCGCAUGCCCUUCACUGGGUGUGUCGGGGAACCAGGACUUUUACUUUGAAAAAAUUAGAGUGUUCAAAGCAGGCCUAUGCUCGAAUACAUUAGCAUGGAAUAAUAGAAUAGGACGUGUGGUUCUAUUUUGUUGGUUUCUAGGAC